UUUUAUUUCUUUUUCUUUUCUUAAAAUAAAAUUGUUCCCCUCUCGAGACCCUUUCCCUGGCGCACACCUAGCCACCGCACGCCUCGUCAGCCUCCGUGCACCUCCAGCCGCCAUCAUCGUUCACGUAAUCACCGACCAGUAAUGUCGCACGCCAUAGAUCUGCCAAGCCGCGCGUCGAUCUCCAUUUGCCGCCCCAUCCACCAGGUCUGAAACUGAACACCAACCCUUGCACCGUCGCUUCAGCCCAAUUGCGUGGUUGCCGCCGCUUCUCCAGCUUUUGUGCGCCACCAGAUCGAACGGAGUCCCAGUCGCGCACCACUCCUCGUCGGGUUAGUCAUCGGCGUCGACUGCCACCGGUCCGUCGUCGUGUCUGGCUGUCGUUCAAGCCUGGCCUCGAGUCCUCACUGUCGUCCCUUUGGGUUUCCGCAGGAUUUUGGAGAUAAAUUGUAUUUUGGGUUUUUUCUUCAAGGUUUCCAAGAACCAAGAGGGAUUUUAGUUGGUUGAAUAAAAUAUCUUAGUCUUUCUUCGAGGUAAGGGUAAGAGCAUGCCGACGAAUGACAAGUGGAAUCCGUGAUCGAGCCAUGGGGACCAGACAUAUGCUUCCCUUCAUGUUUUUUUAGGAUUUGAUGUCUUAAAGUUUCUAGAUUUGAUGUUUGGACUUGAAAUUUUGGUAUUUGUACUUUCAAAACUUUUCAUUAGGAUUUUCUAGUUUGUCUUAUGGUGUUAAGGGUACUCUGCUACUUGAAAAUUCAGUUAUUUAGUUUUAA